GAUGAACGCUGGCGGCGUGCCUAAUACAUGCCAGUCGAGCGAACAGACGAGGAGCUUACUCCUCUGACGUUAGCGGCGGACGGGUGAGUAACACGUGGAUAACCUACCUAUAAGACUGGGAUAACUUCGGGAAACCGGUGCUAAUACCGGAUAACAUGUUGAACCGCAUGGUUCAACAGUGAAAGACGGUCUUGCUGUCACUUAUAGAUGGAUCCGCGUCGCAUUAGCUAGUUGGUAAGGUAACGGCUUACCAAGGCAACGAUGCGUAGCCGACCUGAGAGGGUGAUCGGCCACACUGGAACUGAGACACGGUCCAGACUCCUACGGGAGGCAGCAGUAGGGAAUCUUCCGCAAUGGGCGAAAGCCUGACGGAGCAACGCCGCGUGAGUGAAGAAGGUCUUCGGAUCGUAAAACUCUGUUAUUAGGGAAGAACAAAUGUGUAAGUAACUAUGCACGUCUUGACGGUACCUAAUCAGAAAGCCACGGCUAACUACGUG
rnacentral:rRNA from 1 species